CCUACGGGAGGCAGCAGUGAGGAAUAUUGGUCAAUGGGCGCGAGCCUGAACCAGCCAAGUCGCGUGAGGGAUGAAGGAUCUAUGGUUCGUAAACCUCUUUUAUAAGGGAGUAAAGUGCGGGACGCGUCCCGCUUCGCAUGUACCUUAUGAAUAAGGAUCGGCUAACUCCGGGCCAGCAGCCGCGGUAAUACGGAGGAUCCGAGCGUUAUCCGGAUUUAUUGGGUUUAAAGGGUGCGUAGGCGGCCUUUUAAGUCAGCGGUGAAGGUCUGUGGCUCAACCAUAGAAGUGGCGUUGAAAGUGGGGAGAUUGAGUGUGUUUGAGGCAGGCGGAAUGCGAGGGGU
rnacentral:rRNA from 1 species